GACGAGGGGUCCUAGCGUUGUUCGGAAUCACUGGGCGUAAAGCGUAUGUAGGCGGGCUUUUAAGUCAGGUGUGAAAUCCCAUGGCUCAACCAUGGAAUUGCAUUUGAAACUGGAAGUCUUGAGUGUGGGAGAGAUUGGUAGAAUACCUGGUGUAGUGGUGAAAUACGUAGAUAUCAGGUGGAAUACCGGCGGCGAAGGCGGCCAAUUGGCCCAACACUGACGCUGAGAUACGAAAGCGUGGGGAUCAAACAGG
rnacentral:rRNA from 1 species